GGGGGUGUAUUGGUUUCGACUGGCGUUUGGUUAUGCCAGCGGUUGCAAGCGGAGCGCCAACUCCUAAAACUAGCAAAUUUGUAAACUGCCAAGAAAGAAGACAAUGUCUCCUACGACGCAGAAUACGCUCUCGCUGCGUAAGUAGCUUGAACGUACAGGCUCUAGUGGUGCCGCUCUUAACCUCUAGUCGCUUGUAACAAUAGGGGCUCACUUCUCGGGGUGCCGGUGACCGAGGGGGACAAUAAAGCUGGACUAGGGGUGAUUACGUCGGCCGCUGUACCGACCCAUCCCGAAACACCGAACAGCGGAUAAGCUUGUAGAGGCCGUUGGGUGGCACGUUAGGACGGGGGUUCGACUCCCCCCACCUCCAA
rnacentral:tmRNA from 1 species